rnacentral:tRNA from 1 species
GCCCGGGUAGCUCAGUGGUAGAGCAGCGGACUGAAAAUCCGCGUGUCGGUGGUUCAAUCCCGCCCCCGGGCACCA